UAACGUAUAAAAAGGUUGGUUGAAGCGUUCUGGUUCAAUCGGUAACCAUGCAGAUUCACAGUAUGGUCGCAGAGACCUGAAGGCUAAGAAAUAGACUAUUCAACAAAGUACAUUGAAGGAGUGCACCAUCCAACUGGCUGUUCAUCAUAUAAUCUAUCUCUAUUGGUCAGGAGCUUGGAGAGACAGCAGGAGCAUCAAGAGAACUGAACAUGGAGAAAACAGCUGAAGACAGUAGGAGCAGAGAGAAAACAGAUCAUGAAAAAAGCACGAGAGGAGAAUGGGGAGAGCAGGAGCAAGUGGGGAGCAGAUCACAUUGUGAUCAAUGUGCACUUGCCUACCUUUGACCAGAGUUAUUUGGGCAGUCACUCUUUUGUACAGCUGGCUUGCAUUGCAAACCCCCUUGAAAUGCUUAGUUUUACCCCAACUCAGUUUGAGAAAU